rnacentral:rRNA from 1 species
GGGUCAGUAGGUUGGUCGUGCCACCGGUACGUACUGGUCUCACUGAUUCCUCCUUCCUGAAGAACCGUAAUGCCAUUAAUUUGGUGUUGCGGGGAAACAGGACUGUUACUUUGUAAAAAAUUAGAGUGUUUAAAGCAAGCUAACGCUUGAAUACAUUAGCAUGGAAUAAUGAAAUAGGACGAUCGAUCCUAUUUUGUUGGUUUCUAGGAUUGACGUA